rnacentral:rRNA from 1 species
UACAGAGGGGGCAAGCGUUAUUCGGAAUUAUUGGGCGUAAAGGGCGCGUAGGCGGCCGUGCAAGUGGACGGUGAAAUCCCUCGGCUCAACCGAGGAACUGCCUUUCAAACUGCAUGGCUUGAGUCCGGGAGAGGUGAGUGGAAUUCCCAGUGUAGCGGUGAAAUGCGUAGAUAUUGGGAGGAACACCAGUGGCGAAGGCGGCUUUUUGGUCUGUAACUGACGCUGAGGCGCGAAAGCGUGGGGAGCAAACAGG